AGUUAAUUAGUUAAAUUUUACAACGUUAAGGUGCAAACUUAAAAAAAUGGUUUUACUCCAUAUUAACCU
rnacentral:tRNA from 1 species